rnacentral:rRNA from 1 species
GCGGAGGAAAAGAAACCAACAGGGAUUGCCCUAGUAACGGCGAGUGAAGCGGCAACAGCUCAAAUUUGAAAUCUGGCCCUUUCAGGGUCCGAGUUGUAAUUUGUAGAGGGUGCUUUGGCGUUGGCUGCGGUCUAAGUUCCUUGGAACAGGACGUCACAGAGGGUGAGAAUCCCGUACGUGGCCGCCAGUCUUCGCCGUGUAAAGCCCCUUCGACGAGUCGAGUUGUUUGGGAAUGCAGCUCUAAAUGGGAGGUAAAUUUCUUCUAAAGCUAAAUACUGGCCAGAGACCGAUAGCGCACAAGUAGAGUGAUCGAAAGAUGAAAAGCACUUUGGAAAGAGAGUCAAAAAGCACGUGAAAUUGUUGAAAGGGAAGCGCUUGCAGCCAGACUUGCCUGUAGUUGCUCAUCCGGGCUCUUGCCCGGUGCACUCUUCUGCGGGCAGGCCAGCAUCAGUUCGAGCGGCCGGAUAAAGACCUCUGUCACGUAUCUUCCUUCGGGAUGACCUUAUAGGGGAGGUGUAAUGCGGCCAGCUCGGAUUGAGGUCCGCGCAUCUGCUAGGAUGCUGGCGUAAUGGCUGUAAGCGGCCCGUCUUGA